GCCCAGCCGUAAACUUUUACUUACAUCCUAAUCGCCAGGGAACUACGAGCUAAGCUUAAAACCCAAAGGACUUGACGGUACCCCAUAUCCCCCUAGAGGAGCCUGUCCUAUAAUCGAUAAUCCACGUUUAACCUCACCAUUUUUAGUUAAUCAGCCUGUAUACCUCCGUCGUCAGCUUACCACGUGAGCGCCAAUUAGUGAGCCUAAUGUUAUUCCACCAACACGUCAGGUCAAGGUGCAGCAAAUGAAAUGGGAAGAGAUGGGCUACACUUUCUACUAUAGAAGAAACGAAGAACUACCUAUGAAACCUAGUUGGAAGGCGGAUUUAGCAGUAAAAAGGAAUCAGCAUAUCCAUUUUAACCCGGCACUGGGGUGUGU
rnacentral:rRNA from 1 species